GAUGAACGCUAGCGGCAGGCUUAAUACAUGCAAGUCGAACGGUAAGAGAUGUAGCAAUACAUUUCCUAGAGUGACGUACGGGUGCGUAACACGUAUGCAACCUACCUGUAACAGGAGUAUAGCUCGGGGAAACUCGAAUUAACCCUCAUAAGAUCGUGAAGUGGCAUCACUUAGCGCUUAAAACUGAGGUGGUUACAGAUGGGCAUGCGUCUGAUUA
rnacentral:rRNA from 1 species